rnacentral:rRNA from 1 species
AGAGUUUGAUCAUGGCUCAGAACGAACGCUUGCGGCGUGCUUAACACAUGCAAGUCGAACGAGAAAGGGACUUCGGUCCUGAGUAAAGUGGCGCACGGGUGAGUAACGCGUAGGUAAUCUACCCCUGUGUUAGGGACAACAUCGGGAAACUGGUGCUAAUACCGGAUACGUUUCACGGAUUGCGAAAUAAGUGAAGGAAAGAUGGCGACCCUUCGGGGGCUAUUGCACGGGGAUGAGCCUGCGUACCAUUAGCUAGUUGGCAGGGUAAGAGCCUACCAAGGCGACGAUGGUUAGCGGGUCUGAGAGGAUGAUCCGCCACACUGGAACUGAAACACGGUCCAGACUCCUACGGGAGGCAGCAGUGAGGAAUUUUGCACAAUGGGGGAAACCCUGAUGCAGCGACGCCGCGUGAGUGACGAAGGUCUUCGGAUCGUAAAGCUCUGUCAGUAGGGAAGAAAUGCGCGAUGGCUAAUAUCCAUGGUGCUUGACGGUACCUACAAAGGAAGCACCGGCUAACUCCGUGCCAGCAGCCGCGGUAAUACGGAGGGUGCGAGCGUUGUUCGGAUUUACUGGGCGUAAAGGGCGCGUAGGCGGCCUAUCAAGUCAGGUGUGAAAGCCCACGGCUCAACCGUGGAAGUGCAUCUGAAACUGGCAGGCUUGAGUACUGGAGGGGAGUGUGGAAUUCCCGGUGUAGAGGUGAAAUUCGUAGAUAUCGGGAGGAAUACCGGUGGCGAAAGGCGACACUCUGGACAGAUACUGACGCUGAGGCGCGAAAGCGUGGGGAGCAAACGGGAUUAGAUACCCUGGUAGUCCACAGCUGUAUACGAUGUGCACUAGGUGUGGGGGGGAUGUUUAUCCUUUUUGGUGC